rnacentral:antisense_RNA from 11 species
UUCUUUCCAAACGAUUUGAAGUUGCAGAACCUGAAAUGGCAGAUAGGCGCAGAUGAGUGAAUUCCAAUAAAUACAGACAGACUAUGCGAUUGGUGUGCGCGAAUAUCGCCUUUGCAGCUUCAAAUAGGAAGAA